rnacentral:rRNA from 1 species
CAGCCGCCACGGUAAUACGUAGGGUGCAAGCGUUAAUCGGAAUUACUGGGCGUAAAGCGUGCGCAGGCGGUUCGCUAAGACAGAUGUGAAAUCCCCGGGCUUAACCUGGGAACUCCAUUUGUGACUGGCGGGCUAGAGUAUGGCAGAGGGGGGUAGAAUUCCACGUGUAGCAGUGAAAUGCGUAGAGAUGUGGAGGAAUACCGAUGGCGGAGGCAGCCCCCUGGGCCAAUACUGACGCUCAUGCACGAAAGCGUGGGGAGCAAACAGGAUUAGAUACCCCCGUAGUCCCUGUCUCUUAUAC